GCCGGGCGUGGUGGCGCAUGCCUGUAAUCCCAGCUACUCAGGAGGCUGAGGCAGGAGAAUUGCUUGAACUCAGGAGAUGGAGGUUGCAGUGAGCUGAGAUGGAGCCACUGCACUCCAGCCUGGGUGACAGAGCGAGACUGCAUCUC
rnacentral:SRP_RNA from 1 species